GGGGGGGGGGGGUCGUGGUCUAGCGUUUGAAUCUUCAGAGACACAAAUGCUGGUUUUAGGUUCUGUGUUUGGGGUUCGAACGCCAACGUUCAUAAAUGAUAUUUAAGUUUCAUCUGUCGGGUUUCUUCUUCUCAUUUGUUCUCCUUAUCGGCGAAAUACAUCUGAUUUCGGUUUGAGUCUUUCUGUGUGUUUUACAUCAGCUAGACGAUGAGGAGAGAAAGGAGGUGUCAUCACUUUACUAUUCUAAAGCAUUACGCCGAGGAUCCUGAUUACACAUACUGCUCGUUUAGUUCCUUUCCUCCCACAAAUGAUGCAGUUUGUCAACAGGAAGAAAAAAAACUAAAAAGGGAAAUUGUCACCAAAAGGUUUAGUGUUUGUAUAAAACAACAUCGUGAACUGUUUCUUUUUGCAAACUUCCCUCUGAGUAAUAAGUAAAGCUUUGGUUGAACGAUGAGUUGAAGCUCGAUGAGGACGAGAGAAGCUUUUCCAGAGACACCAAACGUUGCAAUGAAUGAUCCAAAAGUAGAGAAGAGGAUGAAUCCCUUUAAACAGGUGCUGAUGUGGACCUCUAGUAUCUCCUCACUGUCUCUCAGGCAUGAACAAAAGUGAGAAGCAUCUCAUUUAUCUGACAUUUGACGAGCUGUGUUUGUUGCAGAGCGUUAGCGCGCUGCAGCAUGGACAGAGAGCCGGCCCUUCAGAGCCAAUCAGAGCACGGCGAGCGAGCCAAUGGGACCGCCCCCCGGCCCGCGGCGGACCCCUCCACCCCGACGACCCCCAACCCUCCUCGGCUGACCCCCAACCCGACGCUGCUGGACUCCCUCGCGCCCAUGCUGACGCCCGCCACCUCCUCCCCCCCUCCCCCCCCCUCCCCCGGCUCCCUCCGUCUCGGCGACCCACGUGCCCAGAGUGGCUCCAUCGCCGCACCUGCUCGCCCCGGCUCCCCCGAAGCUCACCCCGACCGCCGUCCCCGCCCUGCGCACGUACUCUCGCCCGCUCUUUCCAUCGCCGUUGGGCGCCUCCAAAACAUCUCCCCCCAAACAACAACCCCCCGCUCUUCUUCUCCCCGCUUCCUCCUCUACCCCUCCGGCGGCGCCAAGCAACGCCUCGGCCCUCCUCUCUUCUUCUUCUUCUUCUUCUUCUCCUGCGACGCACAGCAGCAGCACCGCCGUGUCAUCCAAGACCUCCACUGGGCUGACCAACGGGAACACGAGGCCCGUAUCCACGACGACCGCCACGCCCAUCACGCCCUUCCACACGCCGGCCAGCCCACCCGGCCGACAGGUAUCACAGCCCGCGGGCACACCUGGUCCUGUGCGAGCCAACCAGAGCCCCUCCCCCGUGAGGCAGCGGGUCUCCCAGCAGACCCUGCUCCUGGGGAAAGGUCUCAAAGGGUCUGGGCCAGACCAGGUGCUGCUCAGAGCUCAGAUGCUCCAGAGCCUCACCCUGAGGCCCCCCCCCCACGGGGCCCUCACCAUCCCUCCCUCCCUUCGCCUCAAGCCGCCGUGCUCGGCCCCGCCUCCCCUCUCUCGCCCUCAUGCCCCCCUCUUCCCCCCCCUGAGGCCGCGCCCGCAGUCCUGCCACACGGCGACGGAGAGACCAAACGCGCCCGGGCGCCACCUCUCCGUCCCGCCUCCGACUCUUUACUCUCCGGUCCGAGUCGUCCCUCUGAGACCCCGCCUCCACCCUGCAAACAGCCACAGGGCGGCGGUGCCGCGGGUGACCACGCCCCUCCAGCCAAUCGGCGCCGCCGCCCCCCCCGCCUGUCGGGCCCCCCUCCCCGUCAGCAGGCCGGGCGGCCCGUUGACUCAGGCGAUGCGCGGCCCGCCGUCCGCGUCCGCCGCCGCCCGCUUCCAGCGCUCGCCCUCGGCGGCGAGGCAGCUGCAGAUCAUCGCCCUCUCUUCAGGACGCCAGUCCUUUACUCGCCACGCGCCGCCGCCGCCUCCCACCGCCGAGUCGCCCGACCCGCCUGGCCAACUGAAGAGGACGUGGAGCGGCGAGGCGCCUCCGCUCGACCCGUCGUUGCCAAAGAACAGCUACCGGCUCCCCUCGCCUCCGUCACUCCUGAGUGCGCCGCCCCCCCCCCAGUCAGCCCGGCCCUCAGCCACCGGCUGCCAGCCCGAGGGGGGAGGGGGAGGCCGGAGAGGAGCAGCGAGAGAGAGGACGAGGGGUGAGGCAGGGAGUCCCAAAGGGGGAGACAGAGGGGAAGGAGGAGAGGCAGCGGGAAGAAAGCCUCGUCGCCCGGAAGGAGGCGGAGACGGCCGGAGAGGAGGAGCAAAUGGAGGUGACGGAGGAAGGCCGGAGCGAAGGCGAGGAGAAAAAGAUGGAGCAGGAGGAAGGAGAGGCGGCCAUGGACCAGUCUGAGAUCCAUCUGGAGACGGAGCCUGUCCACGCGCCCGACGCCGCUCACGACUCAGGGGGGGAACCGAAACCCACCACAGGCCUCGUUACGGCCCCAGUCCCAACGGCCCCAGUACCUGUCCCAGUACCGGCCCCAGUACCUGUCGCAGUACCGGCCCCAGUACCUGUCCCAGUAACUGUCCCAGUACCGGCCCCAGUACCUGUCCCAGUAACGGCCCCGGUACCGGCCCCAGUACCUGUACCAGUACCGGCCCCAGUACCUGUCCCAGUAACUGUCCCAGUACCGGCCCCAGUACCUGUCCCAGUAACGGCCCCGGUACCGGCCCCAGUACCUGUACCAGUACCGGCCCCAGUACCNNNNNNNNNNGGCCCCAGUACCAGCCCCAGUACCUGUCCCAGUACCUGUCCCAGUGCCGGCCCCAGUACCAGCCCCAGUACCUGUCCCAGUGCCGGUCCCAGUACCUGUCCCAGUGCCGGAGGUCUCCGUCCAAAGUCAGUCUCACCAGGACCUGCAGCCGGUCAGCCAGGAGGACUUCUGUGAGAACAUGUCAACGCAAUCCGACAACCAGUCAG
ensembl:lncRNA